CACGGGCCAUGUAUGCUCCCAAUCAGUGGGCUUCACUACGCACAGAUGUUGAUAUGAAUCCAUCUGCAGGGAUGACACACAGUGGAUCACUGUCGAACUGGCCUACUUCUGGCACAGCGGCUUCGGUGCAAGGACGGCACGAACCCCAGCUGCCGGUUUCCAAUACGUUUAACACGCGCUUGACCAAAAGGUGUCUCCCAAGAUAGCGAAGUGUUGAAGAUUACAGCGAGGCCGGGCUCGUGCCCUUUACUGCCACAGCUCAGCUCCCCGUUAUGUUGUGUGGGAAACCCUCAUCGAGUCACCACAAAGAGCCAAGAAUGUAUUUUAAGUGCAGCCGUCGUGUGCACAGGUUGAACACCGUCACAGCACUGGCGGCGUUGGAAUGAGCGCGUGGAGCCCACGUAGGGGUGAAAUGACAAAGUGGAAGCAGAGCGGUCUCCAUCGGAACACGGUGACAGCUGGAGGCAGGCUGGGCCCGCUGACUGCACAGCAGACGAGCGACCUGUCCAGGAUGUUCCACCAUCUCACUCAAUGACAGCAGUUGGCUCCAGUAUCCAGUAUUGGGAUAAUGAAAGGAUGGACGUGUGGAUGGAUGGACAUCGGGUUUCUCAUUGAUCAUCAUAAGGCUAAAAUAUAUCCGAUAUCUGCAGGACUGAGUGAGCCAGACACAUUCGUGGCGAACAGUUGUCGGACGUGUUCAUUUAAUCACUAUUAAAUUCAAAUAACAAUCUCACAGGGAGUUCCAAUGUGCAUGAAAAUAAAAUCAAAACGCAAUGGUCCCUGUUUUAUGGCUAAUACGUUAUUAUUACAUUGAUUUGUUGUAAAAUGUUUGCGUAAUGAAAACGAUCCUGUUAAUGAUAAAUACAAGAAACGCUCAAAACCUUGGUUUCAAAAUUAAAUAUAUAUUCUAUUUCUGAAGUUUGGGCAAACUAACUCUCUUAAUGUCAAAAGAAAAGCAGUCAAACAAUAAACAGAUGUACUAAACAUAAUUCACUGUUCUAAAAUUAAAUAUUUUAUAAACGGUUUAAAAGGUUUAUGAAUUUGAGCCCAAGCCUAAUUCAUUUUAACAACUAAUCUUUAGGUGAGUUUAGUUACAGUUGUCGAUUUGUUGUUGUUUUAUCAGAAUACAAGAAAAUAUUGAAAAUCUAGAAAAAAGCGAUAAAGACGAAAAAAUGAAGCAAGUUAUAACAAAACAAACUUUUUUAUUAAUUGUAAAAUAUAAUUUAUUAUUGUUGCAAAUGUUAUUUAAACGCGUCUUCCCGUUUCCAGAGUGGAGCUACCUGUUGGUGUGUGUGUCCGAUUAGCUGUAAAAACCUCUGAACUUUUCUAAAUCGUUUAUUCAACCAGUUAAAACACGACAAAGGAACCAGCCACGGUGCUUAACGUAUCGUCAGCUUUUUCAUUUUGCUUUGUUUCAUUUGUGUGUUAACAUUUUAGGUUGUUAUAUUGGCUCACACGCACAUGAGCUGGUUUUAAUAUCUUUUCCUUUUUUCUAGCUUUGUAUUUGAUUUUUAACGUUUUUAUAACCUACCGGUGAUUUAAAUAAACACACAUUAUGAACUAA